GCAGUCGAGCGGACAGAAGGGAGCUUGCUCCCGGAUGUUAGCGGCGGACGGGUGAGUAACACGUGGGUAACCUGCCUGUAAGACUGGGAUAACUCCGGGAAACCGGAGCUAAUACCGGAUAGUUCCUUGAACCGCAUGGUUCAAGGAUGAAAGACGGUUUCGGCUGUCACUUACAGAUGGACCCGCGGCGCAUUAGCUAGUUGGUGGGGUAAUGGCUCACCAAGGCGACGAUGCGUAGCCGACCUGAGAGGGUGAUCGGCCACACUGGGACUGAGACACGGCCCAGACUCCUACGGGAGGCAGCAGUAGGGAAUCUUCCGCAAUGGACGAAAGUCUGACGGAGCAACGCCGCGUGAGUGAUGAAGGUUUUCGGAUCGUAAAGCUCUGUUGUUAGGGAAGAACAAGUGCGAGAGUAACUGCUCGCACCUUGACGGUACCUAACCAGAAAGCCACGGCUAACUACGUGCCAGCAGCCGCGGUAAUACGUAGGUGGCAAGCGUUGUCCGGAAUUAUUGGGCGUAAAGGGCUCGCAGGCGGUUUCUUAAGUCUGAUGUGAAAGCCCCCGGCUCAACCGGGGAGGGUCAUUGGAAACUGGGAAACUUGAGUGCAGAAGAGGAGAGUGGAAUUCCACGUGUAGC
rnacentral:rRNA from 1 species